GAGGGUAUAGUUCAAGUGGUAGAAUGCAUGCCUAGCAUGCAUGAGGUCCUGAGUUCAAUCCCCAGUACCUCCU
rfam:Camelus ferus unplaced genomic scaffold scaffold961, whole genome shotgun sequence.